rnacentral:rRNA from 1 species
AUACGGAGUGUGCAAGCGUUAUUCGGAAUCACUGGGCGUAAAGGACGCGUAGGCGGGUUGGCAAGUCAGAUGUGAAAUCCUACAGCUUAACUGUAGAACUGCAUUUGAAACUGCUAACCUAGAGUAUGGGAGGGGGAGAUGGAAUUAGUGGUGUAGGGGUAAAAUCCGUAGAUAUCACUAGGAAUACCGAAAGCGAAGGCGAUCUCCUGGAACAUAACUGACGCUAAGGCGUGAAAGCGUGGGGAGCAAACAGGAUUAGAAACCCUUGUAGUCC